rfam:Medicago truncatula strain A17 chromosome 1, whole genome shotgun sequence.
UUGGAUGUGAAUUGAUUAUGUUUGGAUAAACUUAUUUAAAAGUGAUUCUUAUGAGUUGAUGUUGUUUGGAUAG